AUGGUGCAUCUCUUCACACUGGAGGAUUUAUUCCUCACAGUUUGCAUUGAAAUAGAAUGGUAUUAUAAGUUUUUCAUUAUAUUUCAUAAAUUAGUUUUCAUACAAAAAGGAAAGGGUGUAGAUCCAUCUUUGACUAAGUUUAGUUUUGUACCCAUCGUAAAAAGGAUCAAAGUUGGGUGGGCGUUCAUGUGGAAUCUAAUUACGUAA